UACGUAGGGGGCGAGCGUUGUCCGGAAUUACUGGGUGUAAAGGGCGUGUAGGCGGGGAUGCAAGUUACCGGUAAAAACCCGCGGCUCAACCACGGGCUUGCCGGUAAAACUGUAUCUCUUGAGUGUAGGAGAGGGAAGUGGAAUUCCCGGUGUAGAGGUGAGAUUCGUAGAUAUCGGGAGGAACACCAGUGGCGAAGGCGGCGAUCUGGGAAGAUACUGACGCUGAGGUGCGAAAGCGUGGGGAGCAAACAGG
rnacentral:rRNA from 1 species